rnacentral:rRNA from 1 species
CAAACGACUCUCGGCAACGGAUAUCUCGGCUCUCGAUAUUGCAGAAUCCCGUGAACAUCGAGUCUUUGAACGCAAGUGGCGCCCGAAGCCGUCAGGCCGAGGGCACGUCUG